rnacentral:rRNA from 1 species
GGGAGGACGCUUACCACUUUGUGGUUCAUGACUGGGGUGAAGUCGUAACAAGGUAGCGCUAGGGGAACCUGGCGCUGGAUCACCUCCUUAAACGAUGAU